rnacentral:rRNA from 1 species
AGUGAACGCUGGCGGUAGGCCUAACACAUGCAAGUCGAACGGCAGCACAGUAAGAGCUUGCUCUUACGGGUGGCGAGUGGCGGAAGGGUGAGGAAAACAUCGGAAUCUACUUUUUCGAGGGGGAUAACGUAGGGAAACAUACGCUAAUACGGCAUACGACCUCCGGGUGAAAGGAGGGGAUCAUAGGACCUUGCGCGACUGAAUGAGCUGAUGUCGGAUUAGCGAGUUGGCGGGGCAAAGGCGCAACAAGGCGACGGUCCGUAGCUGGGCUGAGAGGGUGAGCUGGCACGCUGGAACUGAGACACGGUCCAGAGGCGUACGGGAGGCAGCAGUGACGAAUACUGGACGAUGGGCGCAAGCAUAAUGCAGCCAUACCGCGUGGGUGAUGAAGGCCUUCUGUGUGUACAGCCCAGGUUUUCGGAAAGAAAAGUAGCUUGAUAAGGCCCCGAGGUUCUGACGGUACCUGAAGAAUAAGCACCGGCUAACUUCGUG